rnacentral:rRNA from 1 species
GAUGAACGCUGGCGGCGUGCCUAAUACAUGCAAGUCGAGCGAACGGACGAGAAGCUUGCUUCUCUGAUGUUAGCGGCGGACGGGUGAGUAACACGUGGAUAACCUACCUAUAAGACUGGGAUAACUUCGGGAAACCGGAGCUAAUACCGGAUAAUAUUUUGAACCGCAUGGUUCAAAAGUGAAAGACGGUCUUGCUGUCACUUAUAGAUGGAUCCGCGCUGCAUUAGCUAGUGGGUAAGGUAACGGCUUACCAAGGCAACGAUGCAUAGCCGACCUGAGAGGGUGAUCGGCCACACUGGAACUGAGACACGGUCCAGACUCCUACGGGAGGCAGCAGUAGGGAAUCUUCCGCAAUGGGCGAAAGCCUGACGGAGCAACGCCGCGUGAGUGAUGAAGGUCUUCGGAUCGUAAAACUCUGUUAUUAGGGAAGAACAUAUGUGUAAGUAACUGUGCACAUCUUGACGGUACCUAAUCAGAAAGCCACGGCUAACUACGU